CUAGAGGGGAGAGUAUGAGAGAGAAAGAGGGUAAGAGAGAUAAAGAAUGCAUGCAUGCGCAUACAUGUUUGAAGUGCUAUGGAGAGAGGUGUCGAGCCAUCUGUCUAAAAAAGAAUAUUAGCAUAUGUAUGGUUCAUCAGAUUUUUAUACGACGGGGUAUUACUUGCUGGCCGAAUAUUAUUCUAGAGGAGAAGUCUUAUUUUCUGAGGCAAGUAGCUACUUUACUAACUCUCAAAUCCGUUAUCUUCCUUUGAUUAUCUGAUUGUAUUGUUGCACCUUGAUCCUUAUUGAUCCUCUCUUGAUCCUUGAGAGAGGGAUGUGUUGUCCUCGUAUUCCAUUUGUUGAUGGAAUCAGAGUAUUUUGGAGGAACUCGUGAGAAGUCAUACGCGUAUUGUCUUUGAUUGAUAUUACUGUGAUUCUACUGUUGAUUCAAACACAUAUCCUAUUUUGUAUUGGUGUCACGACGGCAAACAUAUUGUACCGAUCACAUUUCAGUUAUGGGACUGUCUGAGUUCUCCGCUAAGGACGGACCUUGUUCAGGAACGUGUCGAUGAUGGAUCCGUAGGAGCGAUCGACAUCAGUAGGUCCAGGUGUUCGGGUCUUAGUGGGUACAAGAGCUCUGCUCUUCUGGAACCUGUGUGGUUCUAGUCGAGACUGUCGACGUCGGAGUACCCCUCUUAAGAGCGUAAAAGUGUGAAAUUUCACCCCUGUGACUCCCGGGUUGGAAAGCUUGCGGUCAUGUUUGAUGCCAAUAAUUUCCUUGUUCAUUUCGUCUGUUGAUCUACACCAUCAUACCAUCGCUCCUUGUUGAAUAGUGAAGUAUCUGCUUGCUGAGUAUGAUUUGUCGUACUCACCCUUGCUUCCUUAUUUUUUUUAGAUGCGAACGAUGUAACUUAAGUAUGUUCAGAAGAUGUCUUCAUCCAAGACUAGGCUUGACCAGCGGGUGGGAAGCGACUAGAGAAUAUGAUGUCUUUACUCAACUAUUUGUAGAUGUCAAGGAAUUUGUAUAGCAAAUAUAUUAGCUUUUGUGAUCCACUUCUGGUCUAUGCCUGCUUUAUCAUGCCUUGCGUGACUAUAGGCCUCUGGUCUAUAGGCUCGCGGCGGCUGUCUCGCCUAGGCCCGGUCUCGGGGCAUGACAAUUAAAGUGCAUAUUUUGUAGAACGUAAUGUAUCGGUCAAAGUUCAGGUAUGGGACUGUCUGAGUUCUCCGCUAAGGACGGACCUUGUUCAGGAACGUGUCGGUGAUGGAUCCGUAGGAGCGAUCGACAUCAGUAGGUCCAGGUGCAACAAUAAAAUCAGAUAAUCAAAGGAAGAUAACGGAUUUGAGAGUUAGUAAAGUAGCUACUUGCCUCAGAAAAUAAGACUUCUCCUCUAGAAUAAUAUUCGGCCAGCAAGUAAUAC
rnacentral:lncRNA from 1 species